GACGAACGCUGGCGGCGUGCCUAAUACAUGCAAGUUGAGCGCUGAGGGCUGGUACUUGUACCAUCUGGAUGAGCAGCACACGGGUGAGUAACGCGUGUAGACUCUGCUUUUCAGCGGGGGACCACCUUUGGACACGAAUGAUAAUCCCGCAUAAGAACUUGAAACACAGGUUUGAUGUGUGAAAGAUGCAGUUGCAUCAUUCAAUCAUGACCCAUCAUUGUGUUAGGUAGUUGGUGAGGUACAGGCUCACCAAGGCGUGGAUACAUAGCAGACCUGAGAGGGUGGUCGGCCGCAUUGGGACGGAGACACGCCCCAAACUGCUACGGGAGGCAGCAGGAGGGAAACUGCGGCAAGGGACGAAAGUCAGACCGAGCAAGGCGGCGUGAGUGAAGAAGGUUGUCGGAUCGGAAAACUCGGUUGGUAGGGAAGAACGUUGGUGAGAGUGGAAAGCUCAUCAAGUGACGGUAACGACUCAGAAAGGGACGGCUAACUACGUG
rnacentral:rRNA from 1 species